rnacentral:lncRNA from 1 species
UUGAACCCCCACACUCAAAACCCACCGCCAUCGCCGCUGGACUUCAGCCUCCCUCGUUGUCAGAAUUCCCCAUACUCCGCUCACACCAACACCACCCCACAACUACCGUCCACCUCCACAACCCAUCCUUGUUACUUAACCCGUGAUCCAAAACUCUAGAAUAACCAUCUCUAACUCUUCCAAAAGGUUACACUAUGAAGAACACCUUUAGGAAAUAACCUAGCUGACAUCACACCAUCAAACACUUUGAAACAUCUAGUCGCCAUAUUUCUCACUACAACUAACAAAUUUCUGAAUUAAAUGAGAGAUUUUGAAAGAGGAAGGAAAAUUUCAAGUAGGAGUAUCAGAGGUGCAAUCAUGGUGGAACUCCUUGAGGUUAAGAUAAGCGCCGCCAUACUCCGCUCCGGAGCGGUUCAGACACACACACUGCCCAUACUCCGAUCGUGAUGUGUAUCUCUUCGCGCCGCCCAUUUGAAAUUGAGGGUUUUGAUUUAUGGAUGAUGAUUGGUGAAUUGUUCUUUAUGUGAUGAUUUCUUGUUCGUCUUCUGUUUCAUCAUCUUCUGGCCACCACCGAGUCUCCGGCCACCACCGAUUCUCCGGCCACCAUCGAAUCUCCUACCACCCACCUGCCACCCACUGACCACCCACCUGCAAUCGGCCUUAACACCACCUCCACCGCCGCCCAUAACGCCACAUCCACCCACUCGCCAUCCACCCACCACCCACCUGCAACCGGCCUUAACACCACCUCCAUCGUCGCCCCUAGCACCACAGCCACCCACCACCCACCUACAACCAGACCCACCACAACCACCCGCCAUAACCACCUGCCACAUCCACCCUCAAAAGUCAGAUCGUGUGAUAGAAAGAGGCCCAUUCUAUACACACCCCCCCUCCUUCCUGAUUACACCCCCCCUUGUGAGAGGAAAACUGUCGGUCCCACGCAGGCCCCACCUGUAAGUAUGUGAGAGGAGGGGGGUGAAAAAAGUAAAUAGGGGGGGUGUAGAAAGUAGCACCCUAGAAAGAGUGUGUGAGAGAGAAAGUUUAGAGAGAGAGAAAAUAGGUUGAUGAAGGUUAAGUACCUUCUGAGAGAGAAUGCAGAAAGAAUGGGGUGAGAGAGAGAAUUUAACUUUAUUUAUAUGUUUUUUAUUUUUUUACAAAACAGUCUCUGAAUAUAAUUUAUCUUACACAAUAGUCCCUUGAAUGGUGAAAUUACAAUAGUACCCUCAUGUGCCUUGCAUAUGACUAGAUUUAACCAAAAAAUCUAACUGGGUUUGGCCUAAAGGACAAAACGUGCAAGAUUUUGAAAGAUAAAGGACACCGCCUGUCAACUUUUGCGUUAAAGGACAGCGCCUGAAAUUUGAUGUAAACAUAAAGGACAAAACUUGUAAUUUACUCUUAAAGUUUGU